rnacentral:rRNA from 1 species
UACGUAGGGUGCGAGCGUUGUCCGGAUUUACUGGGCGUAAAGGGCGCGUAGGCGGCUUGACAAGUCACUUGUGAAAUCUCCGGGCUUAACUCGGAACGGCCAAGUGAAACUGUCAUGCUAGAGUGCAGAAGGGGCAAUCGGAAUUCUUGGUGUAGCGGUGAAAUGCGUAGAUAUCAAGAGGAACACCUGAGGUGAAGACGGGUUGCUGGGCUGACACUGACGCUGAGGCGCGAAAGCCAGGGGAGCAAACGGG